rnacentral:lncRNA from 1 species
AACCAAUCCCCGGUCGAACACUCAAAGAUCCACUUACACCAUGUCAUAGGCAGCUUCGAAAGGUCGUAGAACAUCCACCACCUUGGUGAUGAUGUGGGCUGCUAGUUGUGUUGGGGCAGAGGUUCCAGAGGCAGCAGCUGACAAGGCGGCCCGCGUCAAUCAGUCCGACAAGGAGAUGUAAGGGCCCCGUUGCGCAGCAUUGUUGCGAUCUGCAUCAGCAUACCCUUUGGCAUACCCCUCUGACCCCUGCUGCUGCUCCAUCUCCCCGUCAUCAUCGCUCUCAUCCUCAUAUCCGACCAAAAAGACGAAAGCGUGAUUGGGUCCAAACCCCCCAUGGCCUCUGUACGGCACCAAACGGCACUGUACGGCUCCGCACAGUACCAGGAAGGUAGUGUCCGGGUGAAGCGUGACGUGGCAAGUGUCCAGACAACGAGCACUCGCGAGAGCUGAUCAAUGUUUCGUCACCACGUCGGAGUGUGUCGGAGUGUGAAGAGAACAGCAGCAAAUGACAUAACGGCAUGCAACGGUAAACCGUUAGGUGAGUCGUAACGAGAGUUCUACACUUUCAAUGGCAGCAC